UACGUAGGGUGCGAGCGUUGUCCGGAAUUAUUGGGCGUAAAGAGCUUGUAGGCGGUUUGUCGCGUCUGCCGUGAAAAUCCGAGGCUCAACCUCGGACUUGCGGUGGGUACGGGCAGACUAGAGUGUGGUAGGGGAGACUGUAAUUCCUGGUGUAGCGGUGAAAUGCGCAGAUAUCAGGAGGAACACCGAUGGCGAAGGCAGGUCUCUGGGCCACUACUGACGCUGAGAAGCGAAAGCAUGGGGAGCGAACAGG
rnacentral:rRNA from 1 species